rnacentral:tRNA from 1 species
GGAUGUAGCCAAGCGGUUAAGGCAACGGACUUUGACUCCGUCACCCGCUGGUUCAAAUCCAGCCAUC